GCUGCUGCAACCCGCUGCCCUCUGGUGUCCUGCUGUGGGAGCUUUGUUCUUUCACUCUCGUAAUAAGUCUUGCUGCUGCUCACUCUUUGGGUCCGCACUGUCUCUGUGAGCUGUAACACUCACCGCGAGGUUCUGUGCCUUCGUUCUUUAAGUCAGGGAGACCACGAACCCACCGGGAGGAACAAACAACUGUGAUGCGCCAUCUUUAAGAGCUGUAACAUUCACCGCCGGGGUCUGCGGCUUCAUUCCUGGAGUGAGUGAGACCACGAACCCACCAGAAGGAAGAAACUCUGGACCCAUCUGAACAGCUGAAGGAACAAACUCCGGACACACCAUCUUUAAGAACUGUAACACUCACCGGGAGUCUCCGUGGCUUCAUUCUUGAAGACAGCGAGACCAAGAACCCACCAGAAGGAAUGAAUUCCGCACACAGCAACAGCACAAAGUUAAACCAGGAAGUCCCUCUGCCUUGCUAGGGAUCCAGGUUUGCCUUCCUGUUGAGGUAUCCCAUUUCAUUACAGUUGACCUAAGUUUGAACAAACACUGCCACCUGAUGCAUGAAAGCUCUACUGUGACCUACGUUAAAAGGAGCUGACACUCCCUCAGGCUACCUUAGUCAGUGGGGGCUUACUGCAGCAUACCUGUGGCGAUGAGAGAGAGAGGCACAUCACAGGAGCAUCUGGCACCAGUGGCAUCCUGAGCCCAGAGGAUGUCACGGUGAACUCACACUGAUAAAGACAUAUCUGGAAGGCUGUCUUCCACUCCCUGGAUGAAGAUGAGGUUAAAGCUAUUCCAGACAUCUUAUUUCAUGAAGAAUGGUAUGACAGAGAAGGCCCUAAAGCCUGGUGCUCAGAGAAACUGGUAAUGGCCCCAAAGGAUGACUACACUGUGGCCAGUGAUGCAUGGCAGAGAUUUGACUGUUGGAGGCCAAAAGAUUGAGGGUCGUGAUUAACUUAGUAUACCACUGGAGGCUAUAUGAGUAAACAGCAAACUGUUCUCAUAAAUGCGGAAUGUUGGCAAACUGACAAACUGUGUAUGCCACCCAGAAGUAGUGCUGAGGGCAGUCACACCCCAAGUGCAACGUUUCUUGUGAUUAGGUACAUCUGAAGCCUCUUGGUAAUAAUAUGAACCUGUGAUCAAUUAAGCAGCCGACCAAUUGUUACUGCCGCCUCCUUGCUCUUGUUACCCAAUAAAUACAAAGGGCUGUAGAAGCUCCGGGAGGAGGGGGCUGCCCUUGCUCACUAGAAGCAGGGAGCUCUCUUCUUCUUCCCCUGGCCCUUUCUUUAAAACAGAUUUCUUUUGUCUUAAGUUUUCAUUUCUGCGUUUGUCCCUUUGUUCAGUCUUGUAAUGACAGUCUCAAGUAGUGACAGUAGUAACUGUCAUAAUGACGGUCUCAGGUAGUAACAGUAGAAACUGUCACAGUGAUGGUCUCAAGUAGUAACUGUGGCAGUCUGCCACAUUUGACCAUCAUUAUUUUUCUUUAUGAAUAACAGUAGGGUGCCCAUGUGUAUACGUAAGGACUGAUAUCUCUUUCAAAAGCGAGAGUCAAUAAUUUGUUUUGAGUAGUGAAUCUGUUUGGUGAGUCAACGGUCCAUAGACUACAGAUGGAUUGCAAAGCAUAAUGCAGUUCAAGGACUAAGAAAAAUGAACUUACCUACAUUCAUGGCAUUUUGCAUGUAAUUUCAAGAAGGAACUUCAGAAUUACAAAACCUGUUGAGUUUUCAUAGCAGUCAAUAGAUCCUGGGGUUCAAAAUUCCUCAUUUAGACCAGGAAGUGGGUAGACCUAGAACCAUAUUUAAAGAGAAUGGUCUGGGCCGGGUGCAGUGGCUCAUGCCUGUAAUCCCAGCACUUUGAGAGGCCGAGGCAGGAGGAUCAUGCGGUGAAGAGAUCAAGACCAUCCUGGCCAACAUGGUGAAACCCCGUCUCUACUAAAAAUACAAAAAUGAGCUGGGCGUGGUGGUGUGCACCUGUAGUCCCAGCUACGCGGGAGGCUGAGGCAGGGGAAUCGCUUGAACCCAGGAGGCAGAGGCUGCAGUGAGCCAAGAUCACACCACUGCACUCCUCUGUCUCAAAAAAAACCAAACAAACAAACAAAAAAAUAGAAUGGUCUGUGAUGUGAAGAUAGAGGUUUUGGAGUUUGAAGAGAGUCCUUGAAGGUAUAGUUCAGUGCAUGGAAGCCAUUUUUUGAACAUCCUAGAGUCCAUGGGUGGGUAUGAAUUUGUUGAGCCAAUUUGGACAGUCUAGGAGUGUCAUUAAAUGAUAGUGGGAAUUAUUGAGAAAGAACAGGUGUUGGAAAGAAGAUAAUGAAUGCAUUUUGGAAAUUUAAAGUGCUGUGGGACUCCAGGAGGAAGUGCCCAGUCAAUAAUGGAAAAUAUAGGAUUGGUACUCAGGAGAAAGGCUGAAGAUAUCAGUUUAAGAGUCAUUGGCAUGAAAGUGAGUGUUGAAGCCCUUGACUGUGUAUGAAAUGUACCAGGGAGAGUACUUACAAAAAGAAGUUGAGGAUGGGGUCUUCAUAUAUUUAAAAGGUAGAAAAAGUUGUCAAGGAAGAUCUGUGAUGGGUUUCCAGAUACCUCAAUCUCCAGAGUCGGCUGCAGGCACUGAAAUCCCCAAGGCUUAGGCAUUCAUUUUUUAGCAAAUACACCCCUUAAAUGGGUUAGGAAUCUGAGUAUACCUGUUACAAAUUUCUCUGUAAUGAGGGUGCUGCUUUUUGUGGUUUUUAUCAUCUCUGAUGAUAAACCUCAAGUUCCUCCUCCCUUGGGAGCUGGUAUAUUACUUUAUCUCAUGAUAUAGAAAAUCCUAAAUAAAUAUUCCAACUUGAUGUAGGUGUAUUUAUAGAAGGAAAAGAAAAAAGGACACUUUCUAUAGUUUCUCUGAGAGACACUUGCCUUGUUUUGAAUAACCAAAUUAACAAAAAGGAUACAGAUAUUCAGGGUCAAAAUUGGUUGUCUUUGGAAUUAGUCUCAUUGCUUAUUUUAAAUAUCUUGAUAUGUGACUUUUAUUUACUUGAAGGUAGGCCCUGAAAAAUAAUAGUAGAUAUAAUAGUAGUAAACCCUUAUAUGGAGUUCACUGCUCUAAAUAUCUUAUGUAUAUUAAUUCAGUUAUCUUUACCAUAACAUUAGAAGAUAGAUACUAUUAUGAACUUCAUUUUACAACUGAGAAAAAUGAGACACAGAAAGUUUAAAUAAGGUGCCCAAGUUCACUCAGCUAAGUGUCAGAAGUGAGAUAUAAAUCCAGCUUAUAAGACUCUAGAGUCUAUGCCAUCAAUGCUGUGCUAUGUAUCCUCUAUCCUGACUUGUCACCUCUAGAUUGAGUUCAUUAUAAACUGACAAAUACGCAAAUAAAAUCUA
rnacentral:lncRNA from 1 species